UGUUAUGUUAGAUAUGUUGUUUUUAACGGCAGAAGAUUCUACGAUAUAUAGAACAGGGUCAGCGAUGCUGUAAAACCAAAAAGUUAUGUUAGAUACAUGUAUGUAGAAGGUGGCCUAGAAUGACGUCGGUGGAGCCAAUCACGGCAAAUUCUAUGUGUACAUAAGGUGCAGUGACGGCUUUGAUGGUGUGCAGGGGGACCUCUGCACAAGGCUCGUGAUUUCGAGGGGCACGCGAUUUAAAAAAAAACGAUAAAUAUAUAUGUUAUUUUUUUUUAAAAUAGUAAACACAUACCAAUUCCAAUAUAGGCUCAUUUACAAAUCAUUUUUUAUGGUUUAUAAUUUUGCCCACUUGCCAUUAGGUUUAUUGAGCCAAAUACUAAUUUGAUUUUUUUUAAAUAAUAAUAAAACAUUACGGAAGGGCGCAUCUUUUUGAGCUCGAACAAGGUACAUGAUUUUUAGAGACACCUCUAAUAAGGUGGUUGAUUUGAUUGUGGUUUGGGCUUCCUUACGUUGGUUUGGGGAUUAGGUUGUGAAGGGUGGAUGAAGAUGUUGGAUGUGAUAGAUGUUUAUGCAUGAGAUUUGUAAGUAGAGUCGUAGAUUAACUUUGAAUCGUGAUAAAUACAUAUUAAAAAGUAUGUUUUCGACACAAGUGUACAUUAUUACACGGAAUUUGCAGUAAUGUAAUUCAAAGUCGCACUUAAGUUUUAGAAAACGCCUCGUUUGCGGUGUGCACAUAUAAUGUAUAUACUUGUGGGCUCUUGGGGGGCAAAAGUGAAGUUGCACUAAUUUUAGCGUUAUUUUAAAAGCGGUGGACGGUUAAUCACACAUCAUAUGGUGGCAUUGAUAGCCGAAAGACAAAAGGAUACAUGCACUAAUCGGCCUUUGUCCCGAUUGUUGAGUGUUAUGUGUCUUAUGUCCAAGGUUUGAUGCAAAACUACUAUCAAGUCGGGGGUCUCACUGGAAACAACCUCUCUAUUCCUACGGGGUAGAGGUAAGGCUGUCUACAUCUUACCCUCCUCAUACCCUACCUUAGUUUUGCUAUUGGUGGGAUCAACUGCGUAUGAUGAUGAUGAAUACGACGACUUAAGUUUUAGACACUAAAUCAAAGCAAAACAACUUGGAGAUUUUCAAUGUGAUAUUGUAUGACUGGAAAGCGCAAUACAUAAACACUAAACAAAAUCGACCGGAGGUACUAAUUUACUGAUGAUGGUCAAGUCAGUUAGCGGCAAAAAUUGUUGGUAAUAAAAGGGUUGUUUGGCAACCCCUGAACCAAUAAGUGCUGAACUAGUAAGAGGUCUGACCAAGUAAGAGGCUUUGAACUAAUAAAUGUUGAGUCAGUAAGUGUUGUUUGACUACAGCUCUGAAUAAGUGUGUAAAAUGACACCAAUGGGGUUGUGGUCCAUUGGCAAAGGCAAGGCCUUUAAAAAGAACUAGGUUGGGAAGGGAAGGUCUUGGGUUCAAGUCCCACAGACGACAGGAGAUUAAAGAAAUUAGCCGUUCAAAAAAGUGUGUAAAAUGACUAUUUUACCUCUCUGAACUAUUUUGUUCUGAAUAAAAUAUAUUUGAUGGUUAGCGGGCGGUUGUUGGCGGUGGCGGGUUGUGGUGGCGUUGGUGGUUAGCGGUGUUGUUGGUGGGUGGUGGUGUUGGUUGGUGAUGACGGGUGGUAGUGGUGGAUGGCGCUGGUGGUUGGCGGUGUUGUUGGUGGGUGGUAGUGUUGGUGGUGCUUCGGUGGCGAGUGGUGGUGGUGUUGGUUGACGAUGGUGGCAGUGUUGGUGUGGUGGUUGGCUAAGGCAGGUGGUGGUUGGUGAUGGCGGGUGGUGGCUGAAGUUUUAGGGUUAAAUAGUUUAUUAGAGCUAGGGUAAAUCUAUCUUUUAAUUCUUAAUCAUUUAGCAUGAUCUUUAUUACUUAAUCAUUAAUAGGUCAAUUGAACCAUUAAGAGAUGUUAUUUUGUGAACUAAACACCUUUUAAAAGGCUAUCAAACAACCCCAAGGUACUAUGCAUGCCAUUUUAGGGUGCUCCCCCUUGAACCCAAGAGCAACAAACCCCUUUGACCAUGUCGUUCACUGGGUCUGCAAUCGAAUCAACUUAUACAAGUGUGCCUUUGAACAUUCUAACCAAUAUUAUAACUUUACUUAAAUUCCUUUUA
rnacentral:lncRNA from 1 species